AUACUUAGCUGGCAAGGGAGAUGUCAUGAUCACAAAGGUGGUUUUCCCAGGGCGAGUCUUAUCCAUUGCACUCUGGAUGUGGGGAGCCCUGCAAGUUCCCCAAAUGUGAGAUGCUCCACUGCAUAAUUUGUGGUAGUAGGGGACUAUAUUUACCCUUC
ensembl:snRNA U1 U1 spliceosomal RNA